rnacentral:rRNA from 1 species
AACGAACGCUGGCGGCAGGCUUAACACAUGCAAGUCGAACGCCCCGCAAGGGGCGUGGCAGACGGGUGAGUAACGCGUGGGAACAUACCCUUUUCUGCGGAAUAGCUCCGGGAAACUGGAAUUAAUACCGCAUACGCCCUACGGGGGAAAGAUUUAUCGGGGUAGGAUUGGCCCGCGUUGGAUUAGCUAGUUGGUAGGGUAAAGGCCUACCAAGGCGACGAUCCAUAGCUGGUCUGAGAGGAUGAUCAGCCACAUUGGGACUGAGACACGGCCCAAACUCCUACGGGAGGCAGCAGUGGGGAAUAUUGGACAAUGGGCGCAAGCCUGAUCCAGCCAUGCCGCGUGAGUGAUGAAGGCCUUAGGGUUGUAAAGCUCUUUCACCGAUGAAGAUAAUGACGGUAGUCGGAGAAGAAGCCCCGGCUAACUUCGUG